GCCCAGGUAGCUCAGUCGGUAGAGCAGGGGAUUGAAAAUCCCCGUGUCGGCAGUUCGAUUCUGUCUCCGGGCACCA
rnacentral:tRNA from 1 species